GAUGAACGCUAGCGGCAGGCCUAACACAUGCAAGUCGAGGGGCAGCAUAAAACAAGCUUGCUUGUUUGGUGGCGACCGGCGCACGGGUGCGUAACGCGUAUGCAACCUACCCUGUACUGGGGGAUAGCCCGGAGAAAUUCGGAUUAAGACCCCAUAGUACUUUUGAAUGGCAUCAUUUAAAAGUUAAAGGUUACGGUACAGGAUGGGCAUGCGUCCCAUUAGCUAGAUGGUAAGGUAACGGCUUACCAUGGCAACGAUGGGUAGGGGGCCUGAGAGGAUGGUCACCCACACUAGUACGGAGACACGGACCAGACUCCUACGGGAGGCAGCAGUGAGGAAUAUUGGUCAAUGGACGCAAGCCUUAACCCGCCAUACCGCGUGCAGGAAGACGGUGCUAUGGAUUGUAAACUGCUUUUAUUUGGGAAUAAACCUAUUUACGUGUAGAUAGCUGAAGGUACCAAAUGAAUAAGCACCGGCUAACUCCGUGCCAGCCGCCGCCGUAACAC
rnacentral:rRNA from 1 species